rnacentral:rRNA from 1 species
GACGAACGCUGGCGGCGUGCCUAAUACAUGCAAGUAGAACGCACAGUUUAUACCGUAGCUUUCUACACCAUAAACUGUGAGUUGCGAACGGGUGAGUAACGCGUAGGUAACCUGCCUGGUAGCGGGGGAUAACUAUUGGAAACGAUAGCUAAUACCGCAUAAUAUUGAUUAUUGCAUGAUAAUUGAUUGAAAGAUGCUAUUGCAUCACUACCAGAUGGACCUGCGUUGUAUUAGCUAGUAGGUGAGGUAACGGCUCACCUAGGCGACGAUACAUAGCCGACCUGAGAGGGUGAUCGGCCACACUGGGACUGAGACACGGCCCAGACUCCUACGGGAGGCAGCAGUAGGGAAUCUUCGGCAAUGGACGAAAGUCUGACCGAGCAACGCCGCGUGAGUGAAGAAGGUUUUCGGAUCGUAAAGCUCUGUUGUAAGAGAAGAACGGGUGUGAGAGUGGAAAGUUCACACUGUGACGGUAUCUUACCAGAAAGGGACGGCUAACUACGUG